GACGAACCGUGCGAACGUUGUUCAGAAUCACUGGGCUUAAAGGGCGCGUAGGCGGGCAUCAUAGUCAGGGGUGAAAUCCUCCAGCUCAACUGGAGAAGUGCCUCUGAUACUGGGUGCCUCGAGGGGUGCAGGGGCGUGCGGAACUUCCGGUGGAGCGGUGAAAUGCGUAGAUAUCGGAGGAACACCGGUGGCGAAGGCGGCACGCUGGACACCUUCUGACGCUGAGGCGCGAAAGCCAGGGGAGCAAACGGG
rnacentral:rRNA from 1 species